GACGUAGGAGGCGAGCGUUAUCCGGAUUCACUGGGCGUAAAGAGCGUGUAGGCGGUUCGGUAAGUCUGUCGUGAAAUCCUGAGGCUCAACCUCGGGCGUGCGAUGGAUACUGCGUGGCUAGAGGUAGGUAGGGGAGAUCGGAAUUCCUGGUGUAGCGGUGAAAUGCGCAGAUAUCAGGAGGAACACCGGUGGCGAAGGCGGAUCUCUGGGCCUUACCUGACGCUCAGGCACGAAAGCUAGGGGAGCGAACAGG
rnacentral:rRNA from 1 species